rnacentral:rRNA from 1 species
UAGUUAUGUUCUUUAAACUUAAAGAAUUUGGCGGUGUUUUAUUCUAUUCAGAGGAAUUUGCUCCGUUAUCGAUAAUCCUCGUUUUAUCUUGCUUGAUUUUGCUUUUAGUAUGUAUAUCGCUGUUAUAAGUUUAUUUUUUUAGAAUAAAAAUUUACUUUAUUUAUUAUUUUAAUUUAUUUCAAGUCAAGGUGCAGCCAAUAAUUAAGUGUGAAGUGAAUUACAUUAUUUUAUGAAUAUACGUAUUUAUAUUUUAAAUUUAUAAUGAAGGCGGAUUUGAUAGUAAUUUUAAUUAUAGUGUUAUUUUGAUUUUAGUUCUAAAAUAAGUACACAUCGCCCGUCGCUCUA